CUGAUGUGUUACUUCAGGUAAAAAUCAUAAAACUCAACAGCCCAAAAGAAACUCCUCGACAGAUACUUUUCACCUGAAAAUGACAAGUAACGUCAAUGCGGCGCAGCUUGGCAGUCUGCAGAUACCUCCCAAGGGAAGGGAAGGGACCAUCAGCAUUGACGGCCAAUAGGAACAGUGUCUCAGGAAUAAUGCUGUUAUUAUGUUAAUGACCCUAAACAGCCUGUUUCAUAAAAGGUGGGUGUGGCGCACUGGAAACCAAAUGACUUUAAACAAACAGCCUGUGGUAUAAACAGACAUCACAUACAACAUCACAUACAACAAAGGUUUUAAUAUGUAAAAGUUUGUCAGAAAGCAUUUUCACCCCACGUUAAUGUCUAAUCCACCUUUAAAGCAAUAACACAUUACUAUUAUUACCUUUCUUCACUGUAAAUCCUUUAUUUCUGGAUGGUUAGGAAAUACAUAUAUUUUACUUCAAAGUCAAGGUGAAACUAAAAAACGUUGGCUUCAGUCAUGUCUACUGGGUCAAAUAAAAGGCAGGUAAAGUGCCCAGCAAUUUGACCUGGAUCUCCAUCAUGCUUUUGAGCUCAACAGCUGAUUGUUAACGCAGCAAAAAACGAAGAACAGCAAAUGUACAUUGUUUCGAUCUUUUAUCUCACUAUUUCUAAAACUCUGAAAUAUACAUCACAAUAUACACAAGGACACAUGUAUAAUCUGAUGCAAUCCACUACAAAAAUACCCUGCAAUGUAAAUGCCAUUAGAUACAAUGUUAGCCCUAAUUAUACUGGUAACAAUGUAAAGUUAUCUAUGAUUGAAUUAUAGAAUGACAGUAUGCAUAAUCCUGAAUAACUCAACUACUGUAAUUACUACAUUAACACAGCGAGAGGUCUUUGUUAGCCUCCUGAAGGAAGCUAAUCUUUUCUUAGUGGACCAUGUGAUGAUCAUUCCUCCAGUAAAGGCUCAUAAGUGGAUGGUGUUAAAGUUUCCGUGGCCUAGUUAGACACAGCUUUUUCACAUUAUUUUCAAACCCACCCCAGCUUUUAUCAGACCCACUCUGUGGCCAAGGACUGGUGAGUAACAUUUGCUCAGGAAAUUAGAAGUUGGAGUGAAGACUGUAUGGUGAGAACUGAGCAGUUCUCCUGCAGAUUUCUCCUGAGCUCUCAUCCAGCUUAAACAGUUGUCACAGGCUGACGCAAACCCACAGAUUUCCUGAGAAUUGGGUGCAAAGGCGGACCAGGAUCUCUUUUCACAGAAGAAAAUGCAAUCUUUUCAGAGAAAGGCCCAAGAAGAACGUGCUCAGUCAUCCCUGUCCUGUACACCGGUUUAAACUCCUUUAAGAACACAAAAACAUGUUUUUGGAAAGAUUUAAGGUCAAAAAUAUGAGAUGCAGUUGCACUUGAGAAGUCAAAGGAAGUUAUUUGAUAGGACUUGUCAGCACACUGUGCUGAAAUGAAGUGCACCUAGAGGGGAAAAUGCAGAGCAGAGUGACAGAUUGAGACAUUCUGACUUUCUUUGGAGAAAUCCUCCAUAAUCUUUAUCAGAAUGGUGCAACUGCAUCUGUUUAGAGAGGUUAUUCUGUAACACCUCAUUUUCCACCAGUUACAAGCAAAGUUUGACUCAUGUCAAUAAGUUGUCGUGUUCACAGCCCAAGAAGAAUUACUUUUGCUGAUUUCAAUGACAAACAGAUUGUUAUGGGGUUAUGUCUUCUAACAUUUUAAACAAUAGAACAUUAGCAAUGGCCUCACACUAAUGUCAAAAACAUUAUGAGGACUUAUGGUGCUCUGUCAUGGCUGACACUGUGGAGUCAGUUGUUACACAUUAAAAUUGAACACAUCUUAAGCAAUGCCAUGUCCAAGUUACUAAUUACACCACUGAUCUUACACAUGGAGAUCAGUUUUCUCAUCAUGGUUGGUACUACUCAGCCUGUAAAAAUAGUGUAAGCUCUUACGUAUGUGGCUUUGGAUGGGGCUGUCUAAAGUUUAUGAUGUCAUUAGAGUUAUCUUGGUUUGGAGUUGACACUAUAAAUCUUGUAGAGAGCCUACUCUGUGAACUCUAGAAAUAUGUGGGCAUUUACCAGGCAGGGAAAGGUUAUAAUGGGAAAUGUAGUAUUAAGCAUUUUUGGAGAAUGAUCACAGACACUGAUUCUGACCAUUUAAAAAAAACAAACUGUCUUAAUAUGAAUCCCCAAACUUUAUGGAAGUGCUUUACCAAAUUGCUGGCAUACCCCUUUUAUGUUGAUGAUUAAAAAAUACUACAAUUAUAA